AUCAAUCUGAUAGAAGGAAAUAGGGAAACAAAAUGGGAAGAUUGGUAUAUGUGGCAGCGCAAGAAACAGGGAAUUGGGAACAUGGUGGCUGCAUGACAGAGGGACCAACUAGUUCGACCCAAUGGUCCAAUUUUAUGACUUCAAACAGUCUGGCGCCCCUUAAUUUUAAACAUAAUAUGGUUCCACUCUGCAAUUGAGACUACUCUGAAGCAGAAUUAUUCAAAUUAUUUCUUGGUAAUCCCGGAACUCAGCUUUUGGAACCAACCCUUUCUUUCUUUCUUUCUUUCUUUCUAUAUGAUAAUAGUUCAAUUUGGACAGCCUCUUGCGAUUGAGUCUCGAUCCUAAGCUCUCUACUAGACUAGUGGAACUUCAGUUC
rnacentral:misc_RNA from 1 species